CAUUUAUUUUAAUAUUAAUACUAAAUAAAAAUAAUUAUAUUGAUAUUAAAUAAAAAUUAAAAACCCUCCCCUCACCCUCCCGCCAUUGUCCUCUCUAGAGGAUAAUUGUAUUAUUUCCAAGGCAGCAAAGUAGAACUUGAAGAAGACGGGAAUGCAUAUUCCUCCAUGGCGUAAAGUUGAGUAUGUCAGUGCCAAAAUGGCUCUCCUUAUAACCGAGCCACACAUUUACCUCCUUCACCUACUUUGACACCCGCACCUACAAGUGGAACAUUUAUAACACGUUUGAUCACUGUAAUGGAAUAGUCAUUCUAUAGGAAUGGAAUAGGGUUGUAAUGAAAUUGAAUAGGCAUAACACUGGUUUGGUCGGACGGAAUGAAAUGAGUAUUGUAAUAAUAUUCAUAUAUUUGGUUGAGAGGAAUAGAUAUAUAAUAGCAAAAAACAAAAAAGAAUACUCGAAUGACCUUUAAUAUUUUAAUUUAUUUUCACAUCAAUUUAAUAUUAAAGAAUAAUAUUUUGUAUCAAAAGAAUAAUAUUUAAAUAUAACAUAUUUAAAUAUUAUUUUAUAUUAAAUUAUAUUAAAAUAUUUUAUAUUAAAUUCUAAAAUUUGGAAAUAAUAUUAAAAGAUUUUUUAUUUUUAUAUUAAAAUAUUUAAAAUAAUUUAUAUUAUAUUAAAAUGUUUAAAAUAUUUUAUUUUUAUACUUUUUUGAAAUUUGGAAAUAAUAUUUUCUAUUGAAUUUUAUUCAAAGAUUUUUUUUAUUUUCCCCAUAUUCUUCAUAUUUGUUGGUCCCCUCUCUCUCCCCAAAUUCAUCUUCAUCUUCCUUUCCAACAUUGUUCUAGAAUCCAACAAAUCACCGUUGUUGUUGUUGCCUUGUGUAUCGUUAGCCACCAAGAUGAAUUUAUCCAAAUUUUACCAAGACCUUUUUUUAAUCUCCUUUUUCAUAUUUUCCAUUUUGGUUUUCAUAAAAAUCUUCCAAAAGCCUAGAUCUACAAAGCUUCUAUAUCAAAGUUUCUCUUUUUUUGGGGGAAUAAAAAACUCAAUUACACAUAUAAAAAAAGUGACAAUAUUAGUAUGACAUACUUCCAUGUCAAUAUAUCAUCCUACAAUCACAUACAAAAAGUUAUAUUACUCCACCACCACACCCAUUUACACAUACAAAAAAUGAACCUACAAUUACAUACAAAAAGUUAUAUUAGUUCACCACCACAUCUAUUUACGCAUACCAAAAGUGACAACCCUUUAUGGCAUACAAAAAUUUAUAUUCAUCCACCAUCACAACCACAUCAUUAAUGUGUAGAAAUAAAAUUUCUUACCCAUGCUAAUCACAUAGAAGGUGGUAGACUUAGGAAAAUGAGCAUUUACGUUGGAUGAUUAGGAAUUUUGAUCAAUGCCUCAAUUCACUCAUCAUCUGUUAAACCUUCUAUUUCACUUAAAGACAUAUAGAGAAUUUGUACCUUUUCUUGAAUGACCAUUUCUGACUUCUCUUGAAUGAGCUUUUUGGAGGCAAUGCUCCUACUUAAUUUAAGGCCAACUGUCCUUAUAUUAUCCCCCAAUAACAUGGAAACAUCGAUAAAUGAGGUAGAAAAAUUAGGUUCACUAGCCUUAGAACUCUAUUUCUUCUUAUUUGAAAAUGUAGAAUCAACUUUGUUUGGAUUAGAUGAUUGUGAUUGUGUAGCUGAGACAUCCAUCUCAUCUAAGGAAGCAUCAACUUCGCAUCCAUUGUCAUUGCUUCCUUCUUCAGGAUUCCUUUCAUUAGCAACAUCCUCAACAUGUAAAUAUUCAAAAAUAUAAGCAGUUGUUUGAGCAUCUUCCACUUUGGCUCGAUCUUUUACGUAUAUAGAAGUAAGUUACUCAUAAUAAGGGAAACUUCGAGUUUUGAAUUGUCCAGCUUCUUUAUGACUCUAUAAAAAAUAUUUCUUCAAUACUAUAUGGCUAUAAGUAAUUCAAAACAAGAAAAAUACAAAAAAAACCUUACGCCUAUAUAUGAGUCGCACACUGCAUCUUCAGCAGUAACCAUCUGCCUAUGCUCGUCCGAACCAAAGCCACUAUUUUCUUUUCCUCAGAGCAUGUCGUAAAUGAUUCCCCAAUCCUUUUUUAAUGUCCUAAUCCUUGAUUUAAGAUUAGGUUUAGCCUUUAGCAUUGUAUGAGGUAAAAAAUUUUCCAUCAUUCUUUCCGAUUCAAGUAAAUAACCAGCCUUGAAUCCCGUAUUUGCAUUAAAAGUUCCAACAUUGUGCAAGUCUAUCAUACAUGAAAUCAGUGCAACAUCUUCUUUCGAAAUCCAUUUCUUUUUGGUUCCUCUAAAAUUUUGGGAAGAAUUUGUAGUUGAUUGUAAAAGUUUGACAUACUUUUAAAGAAAACUUAACACAAUCAAUUAAUACAAGUCUAGUACAAUACAAAAUUUCCAUAAACACAACAUCAAAGAUAAAAAAAAUAACAUAAAGUCUUUCAAACAACCCUUUUAGCCCCAUUAGUUUCGAGAUGUUUGCCAUGCCUUGAGCAUUUGAUUUACUAGUUCCAUCUUCCAAUUUUCCCAUGCAUCAGUUGGAUAAAUAUUGAUUAUAUUAGGUUCAUCAUCCUCUACCACAUUACUAUUUAAACCUUCUCUCAGUGUCGCUUCAAUAGGAUCAAGACUCAUUUCAAUUCGAAUAAAAUUAUGAAGCAAGCAACAAGCAAUAAUUAUUAGAUUGUGCACAUUCACAAGAUAAAAUGAUAGACUCCUUAGUAUACCCCAUCAAUUUUUAAUAAACCAAAACGUCUUUCAAUAGCGUUACACGCUGAUGCAUGUUUCGUAUUGAAAAAUUCUUCUGAAGUACUUGGUUGGUAACCUUGGAGCCAUUCAUUCAAAUGAUAUCUUUGUCCCCUAAAAGGUGUAAGAAAUCCCUCGCAUUUUGUGUAACCAGCAUCAGCUAGAUAAAAACAAUCUAUAUUAAGAAAACACUAUUUAUUAAUCUAUUGUUUUCAAUAUUAGUCUAAUCUAAAAAAAUAAUUCAACUUCCUCCAUGUCUAUGCUUUACCAUGAGGAACAUUUUUUGUUCAUGUCUCCUAGUAAUGACAUCUCGAAGAACUCGUCCAUCAGCAACAAAACCUUCCCAACCAGGAAGAACGUAAACAAAUUGUUUAUCAUGUGUACAAACACCUAGCAUAUUUGUUGUUAUGUCACCUUUUUGAGUUCAAUAUCUAGAUUUUGUUGAAUCGCCGAUACACCCCAUGGUGCAGUGAAAUAAUUAUUUUGGCGAUCAUCAAUCAUGGAUCCAUGUAUGAGGAACGAAUGUAACACCCCAAACCCGGUCUAAAUGUUAUGACCGAAUCUGGCGAUGUCACAUUGUAACACCUCUUACCCGUAUUUGACGUAGGAAUAGGGUACGAGGCAUUACUAGAAGACAUACAUUUGCAUAUGUAUUAAACCGAGUUACAAAAUUUCAUCCGAAUUAAAACUUUUAAAUUAUUAACGUGCUUUUAUAAUUCUUUACAACAUAUCCUCGAAAUAUUAUAUUCAUAACAAAUAGGGCCUACGAGACCCGAUAUUUACUCAUGUAAUUCAAAGCUUCAUUUCCAUUUCAUUCAAUUCACAAUUUCUCAUGUUCACAAUUCAAAUAAAUUUCUCAAUUCAAUCAUCUAAGAAUAUAAUUCAAGUUACACGAACUUACCAGGCUAAAUUGUAGAAAUACCAAAAUUCAGGGACAUUUUGGUAAUUUUCUAUUUUCCUCGAAUUUUCACCCAAUCUUGAUAUAAAUUAAUAUUUCAUUCAAUUUAUUAAUUUAAAUAAUAAAACAAUUAAUUUCAUGCAAUUUGGUCACUUUUUGACAUUUUUACAAAUUUACCCUUAAAUAAUACUUUCAUUCAAUUUAGUCUCGGAACCUAAAACAUGCAAAUUAACCAUUUUUAAUGAAAACUCAUGCUAGUUGAAUAAUCAUAUAUUUUCCUCCUCCUCCUCUCCAUUCCACAUCCUUAAUGUAUAUAACAUGCUUAUAUGUAACAUUAUCUAUAAUUUCACUAUUUAUUUAUUUGUUCAUUCAAAGCUGUCCACUUGAGUCAUUGUCACAAAAUUAUUUAUAUCUUGAGCUAUAUAACUCUGAAUUGAGAUCCGUUAAUUUUCUUUGAAACUAGACUCACAUAUAUUCUUACUAUAAAAUUUUCAGAAUUUUUGGUUUAGCCAAUAAGUACAGUUUAUUCUUUAAAGUCAUCCCUGUUCUGUUAUCUGGCAGUUUUGACCCUUCUUCACUAAAAAUUAAUUAUCUACUCGUACAUGAUUCGGAUGAUGUUCUCAUUUGUUUAUCUUGAAAAUAGAAAUGUUCUCAUUUGUUUAUCUUGAAAAUAGAAAAUAGACUCAUUCAGGAUUUUAAAAAUAUAAAUAUAAGCCCAUAAUUAUUUUUAUCCAAUUUUUGAUAAUUUUCCAAAGUCAGAACAGGGGAACCCGAAUUCAUUCUGAUCUUAUCUCACAUAAUUUAUUAUAUUUCAUGAUUUACAAUUCCAUUACUUACACCAUUUCUUCUAUGAGAAACUAGACUUAAUAAGAUUUAAUUCCAUAUCUUUUUUCAUCCUCUAAUUCGAUUUCCAUAAUUUAUGUUGAUUUUUCGAAGUUAGCCUACUGUUGCUGUCCAAAACUGUUUUAAUGCAAAAUGUUGAUUACUAAGUUUAUAACUUCCUUAUUCAUUUUCUCUAUAAUAUUUUCCAUCACUUUCUCUUAUUUCCCUUCACUAAUAUAUCAAGAACAUAAAACUUUAUUUAAAAAAGCUCUACCAUAACAUCAUUUCCAUACUUUUUCAAUAAUAACAAACAUAAAAAUAUAUUGAAAUCUUGAUGUUCUUACCUUGUCCUAUUGAUUUCAAUCUUUAACUUGAUUUUCUCUCUCCUCCAACUUCUAUUUCUUGAAUCUAACUUGAUAUUCUAGCUCCCCAUUGUCUCCUUGUUAUCUUUCUCUCUUGAUGGAUAUGAAAAUUGUUUUGAUUUCUAAGUGAAAAUAUUGAAUUUUUUGUGAAAGAACCAAAUUGUAAAGAAAAGAAAGUUUCUUUCUUUCUUUUCUCUACAUACGUUGGAUGCAUGGGAAGAAGAUGAAGAUUCUUCAUCUUUUCUUCUAUAUAUAUACUAAAUAGAAUAAUAAUAAAAUAAUAAAAUAUCAUUUAAAAAUCAAAUUAAAAUAUUAAUAAACCAAUAUUUAUUUAAUUAAUUAAUCUAAAAUAUCACCAACAUCAUCAUUGCCUUCUAGAUUUCUCUCUCUUCUAAUUGACCAUUUUUCCCUUAAUAAUCUUUAAAAAUUCCAUCCUUGAGUCAUCACUUAAUUUGGUAAAAUUGUGAUUUAGUCCUUCAAAAUUCUUCACUUUUUCAAUUUGGUCCUAAUUCAUCCAUUUUCCUUAGUUUCUAGAUUAUUCUACCCUUAAUAUAUUAACACUAUUGGUCCUUUAACUUUUUCAUAUUUACACUUUAACCCCUCAAAUUUUGAGUAUUUACUCUUGGGCAACAAAACUUUUCUCACUUUUGCGAUUUAAUCCUUUCUUUAAUUAAUAUGUCAUAAUAUAAUUACCAAUGUUGCCAUAACUCAAAAUUUCCCUUUUUGUCACUUUAUUUCCUUAUUUUACUAUCAAGGAUACCUAUUUUCUUACUGUAGUAAUUUUUGGGGUAUUACAGUAGUAAUUUUUAGGAUAUUACAACGAAUCAAUUGAAAAAGAGUUGAAGGUAUACCUUUAGGAUCUGAUUUCUUUCACAAUGUCGGUUCCAAGCUUCAACAAAAAAAAUAUCAGCCUCUACGUAGUCCACCCAAUCAACAACGAACAACAGAACUCUUUGAACUUUUUAGAGAGAAUUUUCACAAAAAAACAGUUGUUAGACCCUUUCUGAUUUUCUUUUCUUUUCUUGGUAACCCUAAUACACUAAGGGAUUAUAUUCCUUUUAUUAAUUUGACCUAAUAAAAAUGGAAUAAUUCUCUUUUAUUUUGUAGAGAAACAUAUGGAAAACAUAUUAAAAAGAUUAUAUUCUUUCCAAAAGAAUAUCAACUUCCAUGUCUUUUUAUCUUUGACCGAAAUUAUUAUAACUAUUAUAUUAAUAAUUUCAGUAAACUAUAUUCAACUAAUAUUUUAUAUGAAUCAAAUUCAUAUAUUAAUUUUAACUAUGUUCUCUAUUUGUGUACAACAAGUUUGUACAUAUAAUGUGUUCAAAAUUUAGCUGUCAAAUUAAAUUAAUUCAACAAUUAGUUUAAUUCAUGUGAUAGCUAAACACAAUACCAACUGUAUUUGGAUUAUGUUUGCUUCAACCAUAGAGUGUAACCCUGUAGAAUCUUGUAAAGUUGAUAGUAAUACUAGAACAUUUCUAAUGUCACAAGCAAUGAGUGGCAUCUAGUAAUGUAUCAUUGCUACCCAAGUUACAAGAAGUCGUGAUUCGACACAACCUUUCUGUGAUAAAAUUUUCAUGUAUUAUAUUUUUUUAUCCUUUAUAUCUAGAUUGGACACAAGUCAUUGAAUAGUCACACUUGUAUAGUACAAUAUCAUAUUUCUUGAUACUCUGAGCAUACUACAAUAAAUAAAUAAGUGUAAUAUCUCAUAUCAACUUAUUUGAGCAUGACCAUGUAUUUCUAGUCUCACUCCAUCAAGUGGCCUAAGAUAUUGCUCCCAUUAUGUGAGAGAGACAAAUCCUGUCUUGAUCAAUCAUAUCCCACUACAUAGAUUGUGGCAUAUCCAACAUCAAUCUUUAUAGUACAACCUGUUGCCGUAGACGUUUGAUUGUAUCAAAAUAUAUGACUCACAAUGUUGGGACAAUGAUGAUCUCAAGUCUGAGGAUCAUAUACAUAGUUACCACUAUGAGUAAUGUUGUGACUAUUACAUAAUAAUCCAAGAAGCAUUCUUAUAACGGGUCAGUCUAGUAUGUUGUUCUCUAACACACACUCAUGUAUUGAUUUUGACAUCCCUUUGUCAAUGACAACACUUUAUCAUCAAUUAACUACACAUUAGUCUCAAUGUAUUAUUAUUGUUCAAACCCACAAUAAUACUUGACUACGGACCUUUUAAGAAUAAUCAUAUUAUUCUCAGCACUUAUAUUAUUAAUCAAUUUAUUUACACACAUAGAAAAAGAAUAUGAAAUAACAAUGGUAAUGCAUUAUACUAACAAACAAUAUAAAAUGAGUAUGUGAUUACAAUCAUCUCAUGAUUGGUCAGGCAUACUCUAACAAAUUUAUCAACUGAUGGAACCCUAAUAUUAAUAUAGGUUCCAUCUAAGGCGCCUAAGCAAUUCUAAAAGUAAAGUAAAAGGUCAAGUUAGGAUAAUCUAUUGAAAUCUAAAUCAAGUGAGUUAUUUCUAAAUAAUAUAUAUACCCACUCCAAUACUUUGAACUAUUUCCACCUUGUGUUUGUAGAAUUAGCUGGGACUAGCUUUAGCUUUUUAAAUAACACAUCUUGUAAGCGAAUCACACCAUUUAAUAAAUUGUGAAAUUAUCUACUAACUAUUUCCUCAGGCCUAUUAAAGUGAUGCUUGAUAAUUCGAUUUUUAAAAUGAUGAGCAAUAAUAUGUAAGAACAUUGCCACUUGCUUAUCUACAAGCAUGUUCCUUGAUAACUUCAAUCCUCCUAAAGUUUGUAACAUCUCAUAUAAUUUAAAAAAGGCAGAUCUAUUCGUCCUAACUUGUUCAAUACAAGUCUCAUCACUAGCAUGUGCAAGUUGCUUCACAUAAUCUCUUUGAGCAUAAAAAUCUAAAAUGUAUGAUCUAAUCUUUGGUCUAUAAGUUUGUAGGCUGGAGACGACACCCAACAUAACUAAGAACCAACCCGCAACUAUACACAUUAGCAACCAUACUAUUAAUGCAAGACCAAUUCUUUUUCGCCUCUCACUUUGUACUAUUAAAGGAAAAUGAGUCAUUGCUGCAAGAUAUUAAAGUGUUACAUAUCUUCAAAUCAUAGUAUAAAUUAAUCUCAAAACAAAAUGUAAUGCAUAAAUUUAAAUUAUGAAUAAAGAAUGAGAAUUAAGCAACAGACGAAUGUGAUGCAUAUAUUUGAUCAAUAACUUGAUAAGUAACUUGCAUAUAUCUUCAAAGCACACAAUGCAAAGCAAAAACUUUGCAUAUAAACUCAUGCACAGACUAACUAUUGAUAAUAUAAAAUUGAACCCAAAAUAGAAACUUGAAUUAGACAUAAAGUUAAGGGCACACUAUUAUUGGGGAUCAACCCGAUUAAGCAAUGAACAAGUAAAAAUAGCGAAAGAAAUUGAGAAAUUGAACACACAAAUUUAACAUGGAAAAACCUCUCCAAAGAGGAUAAAAAAUCACGGGCAAAGACAAUUUUACUAUAAUGACAAAAGAACGAAGAGUAUAAAAGAUAGAGAUAAAAACUAAACCCCGAAACCUAAAAACAAAGAACCCUCAAAAUGUAAACACAAAAUUCCCUAAAAGGGUUAUGAGUUCUAAUCUUUUAAUGGGUGUGUUUCUAAGGUUGUAAAAUAGUCUAUUUAUAGGCUAAAUUCGUAGGUUAAAUAAUAAUAAAAUAAUCUAAACUAAUCAAAGUUUGACUAAAACAAAUAAACAGAAUUUAACUAAAAAAUUAACUCUCAAAUUUAAUUGAAAUAUGAGGCAUACUAAACAACUAUUAAACCAAAACAAUCAUAAUUCACUCUAAGACCUACAACUAUUUAUGUUAUCUUGUAGCAUAUACGACUUGGCUUUAGUUUUCUUUUUCCUUAAUAAAUUUGAUACUUGAAAUUUGAAAACAUGGACAAGUUCCUUUUAUUAUAUCAAAUUGUUGGUAAUUAAUGAAGGGUUUUAAGAAGCAAAAUAAAAAACUAAUAAUAAAAAAAGAGUUUUUUUUUUUUUUCCUUUUCCUCGUAUGCGUAGUAGAAGAUGAUGAUAAUAAAAAUAAAUAUUAAUAAAUAAAAUAAAAACAGAAUCACCAAUAAGAUCAUCUAAAGCUGCAAACGAAAAAAAAACAAACGACAACAAACAAAGCAAGGAGACGGCCAGUUUCAGUUCCUUUCUAUUGCAGUUCUCGUUUUUGUCAUGUUGUUUAGGCUUCAAGUUUCAAAGUGAAAGCUUAUUUAGACAGCUAGAUUGAGAUUAUUGAGAAAUUACUGAAAAUAAAUCACCAGAAUAAAGCUUUAUUUGGAUUAUAAUCCAUUUAAAUAAAAGCAUCCGAUGUAAAUCCCAGAAAAAAAACUUGAUUCUAAGAAAACUAAACAACACAAAAUGACAUAAACCCAUAUUAGAAAAUAGGUCUAAAUUUAAAUGGCAUUCAUAGAAAAGAACAUGCAACGUAAGAAAUCAACAAAACAAUAAUCCAUAGCUAAUACAAGAAGAAUGUGAAAAUCCAAAACAAAAAUAAAAACCCAAGAGAAGAAACCCACGAAAAACAGAUAAUCUUUGACGCUGUUAGAUCCUUCAAACGGAUCUCAAGAUCUUCAAGAACAAUAACAAAAACAAAUUAAAAAAUUGUUUCCCAACAUAGGAAUAAGAUGGAGAGAGUUAAAAGUGGAGGAAAAUCGUCAAGAAACCUAGAUAGGAAAAUGAAAGGAACAACAGAGGAGAGAAAGAGUUUACCUGAAGGAAACUGCGAUGAAGAGGAGGAGUACUAGUGGCACUGGGACCGAGAGGGGAUGUCAGGUUGAGUGAGAGGAUUUCUGACGUGAGAAACUGGGGAGGGUGAAAUUGAAACCUCAGGCACGGUGGUGGGUGGAGGGAGGGGGAAUAGCGGUGGGGGAGGAGAGGGGAGGGUUAUUUUUAUUUAAGAUUAAUAUUAAUAUUAAUAUAAAGUUUAAAUUUUAUUUUUAUAUUUUUUGAAAAUAUUCAUGCAUUUUAUAUAUUUUUUUAUUUUUAAAAUUAGGAUAAAUUGAGACCAUUUAUAAAAUUUGAGGGUUAAUUUUUUAAAAUUAAGAUUAAAUCAAUAUAAUAUGUAAAAGUUGAUAGUUAAAUUUAUUAUUAUAUCAAUUUUUAACUACCACAUCACUCUUCUAUUAAUGUAAUUAAUAGAAAUAGAAAAAAAACUCAAUUAAUUAAAUGAAAAUUUUAAAAAAAUUAGUAGUUGAAUUACUAAAACUAUAUCUCUAAUCGG
rnacentral:lncRNA from 1 species